AUUGCGGAAACACUGCAGCCACACUGCUGCGUUGUUCACGAUAUAAUGCUGAAGGAGAACCAUGCGUGUAGGUGUUCCGAGACGUGCACACCUUCUGGGGGGGAGGGUGUAACCCGGAUUAUGGCAUGAGGCAAUGGGGAGCGGACAUAACCAAAAUCUAUAUUGACUUAAAAGAGUAGCGUCGUUAAAAAAUUAUUUAAUUAAACAGAAUUGAAUAUUGCCGUGGCCCGAGCGAAUCAGGGCACAAAAUACUAGUGGGGUGUCAGCGAAUGAGAGGUGCAGUUUUUCACCUUCGUGACGUCACGAGCGUGCGGCGCAACCUAUCUCGGUCUCUUUUUCUGGCGGGACCUGAACGCGAGCGGACGUAUUCUUCGCCGUUGUGAGGAAGUGUUUCGGGAGAAAGAGAGUCAUUCUACGCAACCUCGAGUACUGCACUGGGCUAACGUAGCUGUUAGCAUUACGUACCGCCGGGAUUUCGCCGCCCGUAUAACAUCGUCGGAGUAUCGUUCAACGUUCUUCUGGCCGGGUCUUUUGUGGAGUUUCAAUUGAGGACAGCGCUG